AGAUAUACAGACCAGCGUACUGUAAGUCGGGUUAAUAACACUUGUGGAUAUUUUGUCUCCGAUUACCAGCGACAUAAGGACAAAAUCAGCGGACAACAGGUAAAACGGUCACGCAGAGCUGGGGACAUGCGGAGCUGGGGACACGCGGAGCUGGGGACACGCGGAGCUGGGGACACGCGGAUCUGGGGACACGCGGAGCAAGGGACUCGCAGAGCUAAGGACACGGGAGAUUAAGAUGAACAAAAAAAUACUGAUGGAAGGAAAUACAAUGAUUUUGAUAGUAAUGAAUUGUACUUAAAUAUUUGAAUGAAGCUGCAUAGUGAUAACCAGACAGUUAGAACAUGUCAGGAUGUUCCCCUGCCAUGGAGCAGCACAACUACAACCUCUACACACCUCCCAGAGUUUUCAGCAGCCAGGUUGAGCCAUUCUGGAUGUGUGUAGGGUGGUAGGUUCUGAUCAGGUUGCUAAGGUACUUUAGAUCAGAGCCCUGGGUUUUCGUGGACAAGUUGACUUAACUGUGGGGAUGGAUUUGCAGGCAAUACGAGAGCAGAUCGGAUCAGUCAGUGGAGGGGAAAAUGGAGUGAUGUGAUCAUGAGAAGAGCAGAGCUCUCCAGAGGGUGGUGCGGUCUGCCCAACGCAUCACCGGGGUAAAACUACCUGCCCAAUAGGACACCUACAGUACAGCACCCGAUGUCACAAGAAGGCCGAAAAGAUCAUCAAGGACAACAACCACCCGAGCCACUGCCUGUUCACCUCGCUAUCAUCCAGAAGGCGAAGUCUGUACAGGUGCAUCAAAGCUGGGACCGAGAGACUGAAAAGCAGCUUCUAUCUCAAGGCCAUCAGACCGUUAAAUAGCCAUCACUAGCACCUUAGAGGCUGCUGCCCUAUAUACAUAGACUUGAAAUCACUGGCCACUUUAAUAAUGGAACACUAGUCACUCUAAUAAUGUUUACGUACUGCUUUACUCAUUUCAUAUGUAUAUACUGUUUUCUAUUCUACUGUAUUUUAGUCUAUGCCGCUCCGACAUUGCUCGUUCAUAUAUUUAUAUGUUCUUAAAUCCAUUCCUUUACUUUAGAUUUGUGUGUAUUGUGUGUAUUGUUAUGAAAUUGUUAAAUAUUACUGUACUGUUGGAGCUAGAAACACAAGCAUUUCGCUACACCCACAAUAACAUCUGCUAAACACGUGUAUGUGACCAAUAACAUUUGAUUCGAUUAGAUAUAAUUUCAUUUGCACAGAAGCAACCAUUUGGUCAAGGACACUUGGAAUAUAUGCCUUUAUUUGACACUGGUACUCUGUAAUCCCUUGAGGAUUUAUGUGCCUGUGGAUGGGCAUUUAUAUGGUUUUACCUAUAAUAAGUAUUUACCCUGCAUGGACUUUUCACGUGUAAUUUUACAAAGUGGG
rnacentral:lncRNA from 1 species